GCUAGCGGCAGGCCUAAUACAUGCAAGUCGAGGGGCAGUCACGCUUUCGGGCGUGAGCGACCGGCGCACGGGUGCGUAACGCGUAUGCAACCUACCCACAACAGGAGGAUAGCCCGGAGAAAUCCGGAUUAAUACUCCAUAAUGCGGUGGUACCGCCUGGUACUACAUGCUAAAGCUUUCGAGUGGUUGUGGAUGGGCAUGCGUCUGAUUAGCUGGUUGGUGAGGUAAUGGCUCACCAAGGCAACGAUCAGUAGGGGGUCUGAGAGGAUGAUCCCCCACACUGGUACUGAGACACGGACCAGACUCCUACGGGAGGCAGCAGUAGGGAAUAUUGGGCAAUGGGCGAGAGCCUGACCCAGCCAUGCCGCGUGCAGGAUGAAGGCCUUCUGGGUUGUAAACUGCUUUUAUAAGGGAAGAAAACGUUCCUGCGGGAAUAACUGACGGUACCUUAUGAAUAAGCACCGGCUAACUCCGUGCCAGCAGCCGCGGUAAUACGGAGGGUGCAAGCGUUGUCCGGAUUUAUUGGGUUUAAAGGGUGCGUAGGCGGAUUGUUAAGUCAGUGGUGAAAGUCUACGGCUCAACCGUAGAAGUGCCAUUGAUACUGGCAGUCUUGA
rnacentral:rRNA from 1 species